rnacentral:tmRNA from 1 species
CACCUUGCCGACGGCCUGAUCCUCCACUAUAUCCCGUGAUGCCGGAGCGCCUCGGCGCUUGGCUAUGGCGAUAAACGGUAAGUGGAAUAAUCGUUGUGGACCCGGGGGCAGUGCCCGGCGUCUCCACCAAAUUCUCGCUUCAACCCUCGGGCGGCGAGCAUGGGGACGAAACAGGCUCGACACGCGUGGUAAAGACUUAUCUUUUGCCCGGCAUUGUACCGCCGUUAUCGGGCUAAAUCACAAGUGCCAACGAUAACACGAAGGUGCUCGCUGCCGCUGCAUAAGCGGUAAGCGCGGUUCGGGAGGGCACCGGGCAACAGAAGCCCUCCCACA